AACCAUCGAGUCUUUGAACGCAAGUUGCGCCCGAGGCCAAUCGGCCAAGGGCACGUCUGCCUGGGCGUCAAGC
rnacentral:rRNA from 2 species